CAAUAGCGUAUAUUAAUGUUGUUGCAGUUAAAAAGCUCGUAGUUGGAUUUCGAAUGGGAGCGGCUGGUCGGCUCCGCAAGGGGUCGCAACCGUGUCUGUCUCCGGUUCUAAUUCGGGUGAUCUUGGUCAUGGCAUUGAUUUGUCGUGGUUGAGUCCCGUCGUUUACUGUGAACAAAUUAGAGUGUUCCAAGCAAGGCUUGACUUGAAUACAUUAGCAUGGAAUAAUAAGAUAGGACUUUGGUGGUUCUGCCCUUUGGGUGGAUAUUUUGUUGGUUUGCACGCCAAAGUAAUGAUUAAUAGGAGCAGUUGGGGGUAUUCGUAUUCAAUUGUCAGAGGUGAAAUUCUUGGAUUUCUAGAAGACGAACUACUGCGAAAGCAUUUACCAAGGAUGUUUNCAUUAA
rnacentral:rRNA from 1 species